GGAUUGCCUNAGUAACGGCGAGUGAAGCGGCAACAGCUCAAAUUUAAAAUCUGGCCCCUCCGGGAUCCGAGUUGUAAUUUACAGAGGAUGCUUCGGCGUCGGCCCCGGGUCAAGUCCCUUGGAACAGGGCGUCCUGGAGGGUGAGAGCCCCGUACGCCCGGGCCGCCUUCGCCGUGUGAAGCUCCUUCGACGAGUCGAGUUGUUUGGGAAUGCAGCUCUAAGAGGGAGGUAAAUUUCUUCUAAAGCUAAAUACCGGCCAGAGACCGAUAGCGCACAAGUAGAGUGAUCGAAAGAUGAAAAGCACUUUGGAAAGAGAGUUAAAAAGCACGUGAAAUUGUUGAAAGGGAAGCUCUUGCCGCCAGACUUGCCGCGGUUGCUCAGCCGCCCUUCCGGGCGGCGCACUCUUCCGUCGGCAGGCCAGCGUCAGCUCGAGCGGCCGGAAAAAGGCCCUGGGAAUGUAGCCCUCCUCGGGGGGUGUUAUAGCCCGGGGUGCAAUGCGGUCAGCCCGGGUUGAGGCACGCGUUCGCUAGGACGCUGGCGUAAUGGCUGCAAGCGACCCGUCUUGAAACACGGACCAAGGAGUCUAACAUCUGUGCGAGUGUUUGGGUGACAAACCCGUGCGCGUAAUGAAAGUGAACGGAGGUGGGAACCCCCGAGGGUGCACCAUCGACCGAUCCUGAUGUCUUCGGAUGGAUUUGAGUAAGAGCAUAGCUGUUGGGACCCGAAAGAUGGUGAACUAUGCCUGAAUAGGGUGAAGCCAGAGGAAACUCUGGUGGAGGCUCGCAGCGGUUCUGACGUGCAAAUCGAUCGUCAAAUUUGGGUAUAGGGGCGAAAGACUAAUCGAACCAUUUGAAUCUCACGCUACUAGGUGGUUAAGAGACGCCGGGGGCACCCACGCACAUGGUUCUCGGGCGUCUAACCGGCGGGGACAUAGGCCUCCCGUUGAGGGUUGCGUAUGCGGCCCCGUCCGGCAACGUGGUCAAUUUGCGGGGAUAUCCUUAUCGCCCGCGGCUACCGCGGCCCCGGAGUCCGAGUUUUCCUCGGACGCCUGCAAAGGGCGCAGCACCGAGCCUCCGGGCUCGGGGAUGGUAAAAACGCCGAGGGAUUGGGCGAUCCGCAGCCAUACCCCYGAGGGGCACCCAAGGGUGCGCUUCACGGGGGUUUGGUCCACAGACUAUAGGGUCACGGGCGGCGCUUCCCGCCGCUCAAGAUAUAGUCGGGUACCUUCGAGAGAAGUUGGUCGACCCGGGGCUCCCUCCCCUGGCCCCCAGGGGUAAGUGGAGGGUUAAGCUCUCCGGGGUCAAGAAAAGGGAAUCCAGUCGCUAGUAGCUGGUUCCUGCCGAAGUUUCCCUCAGGAUAGCAGUAACGUUUUCAGUUUUAUGAGGUAAAGCGAAUGAUUAGAGGCCUUGGGGUUGAAACAACCUUAACCUAUUCUCAAACUUUAAAUAUGUAAGAAGCCCUUGUUGCUUAGUUGAACGUGGGCAUUCGAAUGUACCGUUACUAGUGGGCCAUUUUUGGUAAGCAGAACUGGCGAUGCGGGAUGAACCGAAAGCGGGGUUAAGGUGCCGGAGUGGACGCUCAUCAGACACCACAAAAGGUGUUAGUUCAUCCUGACAGCAGGACGGUGGCCAUGGAAGUCGGAACCCGCUAAGGAGUGUGUAACAACUCGUGAGUCGAAACCAAAUUUUUCGUUUUUAAUAGUGUGCUUGCUAACGUGUAAUCCCCAGACCUGCCGAAUGAACUAGCCCUGAAAAUGGAUGGCGCUCAAGCGUCCCACCCACACCCCGCCGCCGGGGCAGGAACGAUGCCCCGGCGAGUAGGCAGGCGCGGGGGUCCGUGACGAAG
rnacentral:rRNA from 1 species